CGUACACUCCUGCGGGAGGCAGCAGUGGGGAAUAUUGGACAAUGGGCGCAAGCCUGAUCCAGCCAUGCCGCGUGAGUGAUGAAGGCCCUAGGGUUGUAAAGCUCUUUCACCGGAGAAGAUAAUGACGGUAUCCGGAGAAGAAGCCCCGGCUAACUUCGUGCCAGCAGCCGCGGUAAUACGAAGGGGGCUAGCGUUGUUCGGAAUUACUGGGCGUAAAGCGCACGUAGGCGGAUCGAUCAGUCAGGGGUGAAAUCCCAGGGCUCAACCCUGGAACUGCCUUUGAUACUGUCGAUCUGGAGUAUGGAAGAGGUGAGUGGAAUUCCGAGUGUAGAGGUGAAAUUCGUAGAUAUUCGGAGGAACACCAGUGGCGAAGGCGGCUCACUGGUCCAUUACUGACGCUGAGGUGCGAAAGCGUGGGGAGCAAACAGGAUUAGAAACCCUAGUAGUCCCAU
rnacentral:rRNA from 1 species